GGCGACCGGGUGAGUAACACGUGACUAACCUGCCCUAGAGUGGGGAAUAACCUCGGGAAACCGGGGCUAAUACCGCAUAACAUCGCGAGGGGAAGAUCCUUACGAUCAAAGGAGCAAUUCGCUCAAGGAGGGGGUCGCGGCUGAUUAGCUAGUUGGUGAGGUAACGGCUCACCAAGGCGAAGAUCAGUAGCCGGCCUGAGAGGGCGCACGGCCACACUGGAACUGAAACACGGUCCAGACUCCUACGGGAGGCAGCAGUGGGGAAUUUUGCGCAAUGGGGGAAACCCUGACGCAGCAACGCCGCGUGGAGGAUGAAGUCCCUUGGGAUGUAAACUCCUUUCGAUCGGGACGAUAAUGACGGUACCGGAAGAGGAAGCACCGGCUAACUCUGUGCCAGCAGCCGCGG
rnacentral:rRNA from 1 species